UGGGGGAUCGUCUAAUGGCAGGACCUCAGCCUUUGGAGCUGAUUGUCAUGGUUCGAAUCCAUGUCCCCCAG
rnacentral:tRNA from 1 species